UACGUAGGGGGCUAGCGUUGUCCGGAAUCAUUGGGCGUAAAGAGCGUGUAGGCGGUCCGGUAAGUCCGCUGUGAAAGUCAAAGGCUCAACCUUUGAAAGCCGAUGGAUACUGCAUAGCUAGAGUACGGAAGAGGCGAGUGGAAUUCCUGGUGUAGCGGUGGAAUGCGCAGAUAUCAGGAGGAACACCAAUAGCGAAGGCAGCUCGCUGGGACGUUACUGACACUGAGGCGCGAAAGCGUGGGGAGCGAACAGG
rnacentral:rRNA from 1 species